CCUACGGGGGGCAGCAGUGAGGAAUAUUGGUCAAUGGCCGAGAGCCUGAACCAGCCAAGUCGCGUGAAGGAUGACGGCUCUACGGUUUGUAAACCUCUUUUAUCUGGGAGCAAAGUGAGUCACGUGUUCCUCAUUGUAAGUACCAUAUGAAUAAGCAUCGGCUAACUCCGUGCCAGCAGCCGCGGUAAUACGGAGGAUGCGAGCGUUAUCCGGAUUUAUUGGGUUUAAAGGGUGCGCAGGUGGUGGUUAAAGUCAGCGGUAAAAUUGCUGGGCUAAACCCAAUACUGCCGUUGAAACUGGGUGCCUUGAGUGUGUGUGAAGUAUGCGGAAUGCGUGGUGUAGCGGUGAAAUGCAUAGAUAUCACGAAGAACUCCGAUUGCGAAGGCAGUUUACUGAACUGUAACUGACACUGAGGCUCGAAAGCGUGGGUAUCAAACAGGAUUAGAUACCCGAGUAGUC
rnacentral:rRNA from 1 species